rnacentral:rRNA from 1 species
UACGUAGGGGGCAAGCGUUGUCCGGAAUCAUUGGGCGUAAAGAGCGCGUAGGCGGCCCGAUAAGUCCGCUGUGAAAGUCAAGGGCUCAACCCUUGAAUGCCGGUGGAUACUGUCGGGCUAGAGUCCGGAAGAGGCGAGUGGAAUUCCUGGUGUAGCGGUGAAAUGCGCAGAUAUCAGGAGGAACACCAAUUGCGAAGGCAGCUCGCUGGGACGUAACUGACGCUGAGACGCGAAAGCGUGGGGAGCAAACAGG